UUGUUUUUUUUUUAUUGAGUGCCUCGCGAAACAGUGUGGCGGAUAGAAUCGUGGCGGUUACUGUUCCCAAGUUCGCAGCUGUGUCAUUGCUGCAGGUUGUAUCACGUCGUGCAACGGUCGGCGUCUUGGUGGUGGUUGGUUAGGCGGACGCCGCUUGUUUUCGAAGCAGUUUGUCGGUUUGUCUCCUUGGCUGUGAUACAUUGUGACGUCGCUGCCGUUGUAGAAGGCCGGUGUCUAGACUGAUGGUCAGUAUGAACGCAUCGUUGACAUCGUACAACUUUCGCAAGAAACAACAACUCUGUCAGUGCAACUUUAUCAGCCGGGCCUCCGUGCACAGUUGGUAUCCGCCGAUCAGCCAUGAAAAUGCCGCACAACCACCUCUCGUAGUUGCCUCAGACGAAGAAAAAUGUUCUGCGCGUCUAUACCGACUUAACUCCUGACACUCCGUCCUCCGACUACACUGGGGGGAACACUGUGAUCUGAAUAUUUCGGUGGCCCUGGUCCCUCAAGCUCAAUUGAAGAAGUCCUUAUGUGUUGAAGUACCUCAUCCACUACAGUGCCCUUCAAGUUCAUCACACGUUGGUGCUCCUGGUACAGUACUGUUACCUGCUCUAAAACUGAACUGUUGCAUUAGCAAGGGAACAGGAUGUUGAGGCACGAAACUGCUCAGCUUAAUUUCUGUUGCUGUUGUAUCUAAUUUGCCAUUUGGGCAAUGCAUUUUGAUUGAAGCAUAAAAAAAGAAUAAUGUAAUAAUGUUCUUCCGCAUUGCACAUCUUUUCAACAAGAUCACCUGCAACAGCCACGCACACGUUGCUCUAAUAUAGUUCUUUUUGUGAAAAUCCAGUAGCUUAAGCUUGUCAGAAAUACACCCGCAGGCCUGAUAGAUACCGAACUAGUGGUGCUGUACAUGAUCUUUGUGUGUUGUGUGCCAAUAAAGAUUGAAUUCGCCGUCCACA